AUUGAACGCUGGCGGCAUGCCUUACACAUGCAAGUCGAACGGUAACAGGUUAAGCUGACGAGUGGCGCACGGGUGAGUAAUACAUCGGAACGUGCCCAGUCGUGGGGGAUAGCCCGGCGAAAGCCGGAUUAAUACCGCAUACGACCUAAGGGGAGCAGGGGGGGCUCGCAAGGGCUCGCGCUAUUGGAGCGGCCGAUGUCAGAUUAGCUAGUUGGUGGGGUGAAAGCGCACCAGGGCGACGACCUGUAGCUGGUCUGAGAGGACGACCAGCCGCACUGGGACUGAGACACGGCCCAGACUCCUACGGGAGGCAGCAGUGGGGAAUUUUGGACAAUGGGCGCAAGCCUGAUCCAGCCAUGCCGCGUGCGGGAAGAAGGCCUUCGGGUUGUAAACCGCUUUUGUCAGGGAAGAAAUCCUUUGGGUUAAUACCUCGGGGGGAUGACGGUACCUGAAGAAUAAGCACCGGCUAACUACGUG
rnacentral:rRNA from 1 species